rnacentral:rRNA from 1 species
UACGAAGGGGGCUAGCGUUGUUCGGAAUUACUGGGCGUAAAGCGCACGUAGGCGGCUCUGUAAGUUGGGGGUGAAAUCCCGAGGCUCAACCUCGGAAUUGCCUUCAAGACUGCAGGGCUAGAGUUCGGGAGAGGUGAGCGGAAUUCCCAGUGUAGAGGUGAAAUUCGUAGAGAUUGGGAAGAACACCAGUGGCGAAGGCGGCUCACUGGCGCGUAACUGACGCUGAGGUGCGAAAGCGUGGGGAGCAAACAGG